GUAUGAGAUGGGCUGGAACAAAAGCUUCAGAUCUUCUCCAUGUACACAGACCCAAAGACAUUCAAACAGCAAGCAUCCCAAGUCUCUAAUGGUCCCAAUACUGGUUGAUGUGCAGGCCUAAGUGAGCACACACUAAAAUGGACCUACAGCUGUUGGUUGGGGACACACGAUGAGCAUGAUUUGAAUGCUGCAACUGAGACUGAAUGACGUUGAGGGACACGCGCUGAGACCCCGAGUGUGACUGGACAUGGGCCGGGUAUUUGUGACAACGACCUACAAGGGG